rnacentral:rRNA from 1 species
AUUGAACGCUGGCGGCAGGCUUAACACAUGCAAGUCGAGCGGGGGAAGGUAGCUUGCUACCGGACCUAGCGGCGGACGGGUGAGUAAUGCUUAGGAAUCUGCCUAUUAGUGGGGGACAACAUCUCGAAAGGGAUGCUAAUACCGCAUACGUCCUACGGGAGAAAGCAGGGGAUCUUCGGACAUUGCGCUAAUAGAUGAGCCUAAGUCGGAUUAGCUAGUUGGUGGGGUAAAGGCCUACCAAGGCGACGAUCUGUAGCGGGUCUGAGAGGAUGAACCGCCACACUGGGACUGAGACACGGCCCAGACUCCUACGGGAGGCAGCAGUGGCGAAUAUUGGACAAUGGGGGGAACCCUGAUCCAGCCAUGCCGCGUGUGUGAAGAAGGCCUUAUGGUUGUAAAGCACUUUAAGCGAGGAGGAGGCUACUCUAGUUAAUACCUAGGGAUAGUGGACGUUACUCGCAGAAUAAGCACCGGCUAACUCUGUGCCAGCCGCCGCCGUAA